rnacentral:tRNA from 1 species
UCCCUAGUGGCUCAGACGGUAAAGCGUCUGCCUGCAAUGCAGGAGACCUGGGUUUGAUUCCUGGGUUGGAAA